rnacentral:rRNA from 1 species
GGAAGACCAAGGGUUCCUGUCCAACGUUAAUCGGGGCAGGGUGAGUCGACCCCUAAGGCGAGGCCGAAAGGCGUAGUCGAUGGGAAACAGGUUAAUAUUCCUGUACUUGGUGUUACUGCGAAGGGGGGACGGAGAAGGCUAUGUUGGCCGGGCGACGGUUGUCCCGGUUUAAGCGUGUAGGCUGGUUUUCCAGGCAAAUCCGGAAAAUCAAGGCUGAGGCGUGAUGACGAGGCACUACGGUGCUGAAGCAACAAAUGCCCUGCUUCCAGGAAAAGCCUCUAAGCAUCAGGUAACAUCAAAUCGUACCCCAAACCGACACAGGUGGUCAGGUAGAGAAUACCAAGGCGCUUGAGAGAACUCGGGUGAAGGAACUAGGCAAAAUGGUGCCGUAACUUCGGGAGAA